rnacentral:rRNA from 1 species
AUUGAACGCUGGCGGGAUGCUUUACACAUGCAAGUCGAACGAGUGGCGGACGGGUGAGUAAUAUAUCGGAACGUGCCAAGUAGCGGGGGAUAACUACUCGAAAGAGUGGCUAAUACCGCAUACUAUCAGAUCUGCCGAUAUCGGAUUGGCUAGUAGGUGGGGUAAUGGCUCACCUAGGCGACGAUCCCUAGCUGGUCUGAGAGGAUGAUCAGCCACACUGGAACUGAGACACGGCCCAGACUCCUACGGGAGGCAGCAGUGGGGAAUAUUGCACAAUGGGCGCAAGCCUGAUGCAGCCAUGCCGCGUGUAUGAAGAAGGCCUUCGGGUUGUAAAGUACUUUCAGUGGGGAGGCGUUACUCGCAGAAGAAGCACCGGCUAAGUCCGUGCCAGCAGCCGCGGUAAUUC